AAUAUUGGACAAUGGGGGCAACCCUGAUCCAGCCAUGCCGCGUGUGUGAAGAAGGUCAUCGGAUUGUAAAGCACUUUAAGUUGGGAGGAAGGGCUUUAGGUUAAUACCCUGAAGUUUUUAAGUUCCCAAUAGGAUAAGCACCGGGUAACUUUGUGCCAGCAGCCGCGGUAAUACAGAGGGUUCAAGCAUUACUCGGAAUUACCGGGCGUAAAGCGCGCGUAGGUGGUUCAGUAAGAUGGGUGUGAAAUCCCCGGGCUUAACCUGGGAACUGCUUUCAUAACUGCUGAGCUAGAGUACGGUAGAGGGUAGUGGAAUUUCCUGUGUAGCAGUGAAAUGAGUAGAUAUAGGAAGGAACACCAGUGGCGAAGGCGACUACCUGGACUGAUACAGACACUGAGGUGCGAAAGCGUGGGGAGCAAAC
rnacentral:rRNA from 1 species